rnacentral:rRNA from 1 species
GACGAACGCUGGCGGCGUGCUUAACACAUGCAAGUCGAACGGAAAGGCCCUGCUUUUGUGGGGUGCUCGAGUGGCGAACGGGUGAGUAACACGUGAGUAACCUGCCCUUGACUUUGGGAUAACUUCAGGAAACUGGGGCUAAUACCGGCUAGGAGCUCCUGCUUCAUGGUGGGGGUUGGAUGGUUUCGGCGGUUGGGGAUGGACUCGCGUCUUAUCAGCUUGUUGGUGGGGUAGUGGCUUACCAAGGCUUUGACGGGUAGCCGGCCUGAGAGGGUGACCGGCCACAUUGGGACUGAGAUGCGGCACGGACUACUACGGGAGGCAGCGGUGGGGAAUAUUGCACAGUGGGCGGAAGCCUAAUGUAGCAAAGCAACGUGCGGGAUGAGGGGCAUCGGGUUGUAAACCGCAGCCGCCUGUGACGAAGUGUGAGUGACGGUAAUGGGUAAAGAAGCACCGGCUAACUACGUG